CUUAUCAGUGGCAGGAUAACAGCACAGACAAAUAGAGACCACAAUUGGAUCUGCUUUCUGUUUCAAGGAAUGACCACCCAGAAACACCAGGGAACUGAAUGGCUGUAAAACCAUUUACUCCACAUCUCAUCCGUUUAUUAGACGUGAUUGGAAAUAAAGCCUUCAUCUGGGUGUCAUAAGCUUCACUUUCAGGACAAGUUAAGAGAUGCCCUCUGUCCCAUGAAUAACACCAGACAAUUCCACAGUGAAGGGAAGUGCCCGCUGAAGUAGAAAUGAUGGAGCAGAAAUUGUGGGCCAGGAGGCUGCAGACAAUACAGAGAGAGAAGGCUGAGAGCCCAUGGCCGGCAGUUUCAGAGAGAAGCUACAUCACUUCCUGUUCUCAUGGAGACUUAAUUCUGGGGCAGGGGCAGGGGCAGGGAUCCCUG